ensembl:lncRNA
AAAUAAACUUGUUAAGCUCACAAGAAUCAUCCUGACCAGGCCCACCUGUGAAUGGUUGCAGGCAAGAAGAAAUUAACACAUCCCUUUCCGGAGUCUGGCUGGAACCAGAACUUUAGCCCCUCCUCUUUCAGUGUAAAAGAAGCCUGAUUCCUAACUCCGGAAACAUGGUUCUUUGGGACACUAGAGCGUCAUCUUCUGGGUCUGCUGGCUUUCCAAAUCAAGUUGCAAUUCCUUGUCCCAACAACUCAUCUCUUGAUUUAUUGGUCCAUUGUGCAGUGACCAGUAUCAGAUCAGACCAGUAUAAGCUUGGACUCAGUAAAAAACUUUAGUAGAGCCAGCCAGGAGACUAACUGCUUGUGGACAGCCAACCCUGGUUAGGGAAUUUUCCAGUAAGGCCCUAGCAGCUGCUGGGACCACUUGUCUUGAGGAUCUGCCCUUCAGAAUUUCCUAAAGCAGCACUGGCUGCCUCAGUACAUGGCAGCUGGAAUAAGGGAUCAGCAUUUGGUAGUCGACGGGCUCAAUGCAAUAGGACCUUAGCAACUGUGAGGAAAACUGAAGCUUGGGCUUGCACAUUGGUGCUUGCCUUCUCUCUUGCUGCUUUUGGAACCCAUCUACCAAACAAAGCCCAGGCUAGCCUUCUGGAGGCUAGCCCGGUCGACAGCCAACACCAACAUGAGGGAAGUCCUCUCAGACCAUCCCAUUUACAGAACGUUGCCACCACAGGAAUGCAGCUGCAUGAAGUGAUCCCCAGGCAAAACCAACAUGGAACCACCCACCUGCGCCCAGCCUAAUUCACUGACCCAUAGAAUCAUGGGUAAUUAAAAUGGUGGAUGCCAU